UGGGGAAUAUUGGACAAUGGGCGAAAGCCUGAUCCAGCCAUGCCGCGUGUGUGAAGAAGGCCUUUUGGUUGUAAAGCACUUUAAGUGGGGAGGAAAAGCUUAUGGUUAAUACCCAUAAGCCCUGACGUUACCCACAGAAUAAGCACCGGCUAACUCUGUGCCAGCAGCCGCGGUAAUACAGAGGGUGCAAGCGUUAAUCGGAAUUACUGGGCGUAAAGUGCGCGUAGGUGGUUAUUUAAGUCAGAUGUGAAAGCCCCGGGCUUAACCUGGGAACUGCAUCUGAUACUGGAUAACUAGAGUAGGUGAGAGGGGAGUAGAAUUCCAGGUGUAGCGGUGAAAUGCGUAGAGAUCUGGAGGAAUACCGAUGGCGAAGGCAGCUCCCUGGCAUCAUACUGACACUGAGGUGCGAAAGCGUGGGUAGCAAACAGGAUUAGAUACCCUGGUAGUCCACGCCGUAAACGAUGUCUACCAGUCGUUGGGUCUUUUAAAGACUUAGUGACGCAGUUAACGCAAUAAGUAGACCGCCUGGGGAGUACGGCCGCAAGGUUA
rnacentral:rRNA from 1 species